AUCCCUUUUCUAUGAAGUCUUGUUUGGAUUUAGUCCAUGAGGGCUACAAGAGGGGCUUCGGCUCUGUAGGAAGGCUGCCGUCUUCUUCUAGAAGGGAACCGCUAGCGGUGCUUCUUUUGGAGGGGCAUCGGUUGGUCAACUCCCAUUUGGAUCCUACUCAAGUGGCUUUGGUCAGCCUAGGCCAGCUCUUGCUUGACCUAAGCUAGCCCUAUCCUAAUAUCUAGGCAAAUUCUCUAGCCUAACCUUUUCUGCAAUCAAUCCUGAAUUUUCUUGAUCCAAUUAAUGAGAGAAUCCUAAACUAGAGUCUUAUUCUAAUUGAUAUGGA
rnacentral:lncRNA from 1 species